AUAGCCCACUGGUCAAGGGGCCCCGCACGGAAAAUAAACGGGGCUAAGCAUAUCACCGAGACUGCGGGAUCUAUUUAUAGAUCGGUAGGAGAGUGUCGUUAAAGCAUUGAAGCUAAGCUGUAAGGCUUGGUGGAGUUUUAACAAGUAAGAAUGUUGGCAUGAGUAGCAAAAAUGCCGGUGAGAAUCCGGCAGGCCGUAAGUCUAAGGAUUCCUACGCAACGUUGAUCGGCGUAGGGUUAGUCGGGCCUAAGGCGUAUCCGAAAGGAAAAGUCGAUGGACAGCUGGUAAAUAUUCCAGCACCUUCAAAUUAUUGUUUGAUUCAAAGGGGUGACGCAGAAAGAUAAACAGAGCAUACGUAUUGGACAUCGUGUGUUUCUACCUGUAAGAGAUAUAGAGAGGGUUAAAAUACUUUCUAUGCUUGAUCUGAGGGGUGGGAGAACUAUGAAGUUAGCUUCGUAGAAUUCUGUUGACUCUAGACUGCCAAGAAAAGCCUCGUUGAUUAGAUAUUUUGAAGACCGUACCGCAAACCAACACAGGUAGACAGGGAUAAAAGUCCCAAGGCCUUCGAGAGAACCAUCGUUAAGGAACUCGGCAAAUUGACCCCGUAACUUAGGGAGAAGGGGGACCUUUUAUGUAUAUGAGCUUGCCUCAGAAAGCGUGAAAGGUAGCAUAAAAUAGGUUGAAGCGACUGUUUAUCAAAAACACAGGUCCAUGCCAAAGCGAAAGCUGAUGUAUAUGGGCUGACGCCUGCCCAGUGCCGGUAGGUUAAGGAAGGUGGUGCAAGCUACUGACUGAAGCCCCGGUGAACGGCGGCCGUAACUAUAACGGUCCUAAGGUAGCGAAGUCCCUUGUCGGGUAAGUUCCGACCCGCACGAAUGGCGUAACGACUUCAACACUGUCUCAACGAUGGACUCGGUGAAAUUGCAGGACCGGUAAAGAUGCCGGUUACGCGCAGCAGGACAAAAAGACCCCGUGGAGCUUUACUGCAACUUGGCAUUGGUUCGAGUUUUAAAAUGUGUAGGAUAGGCGGGAGACUAUGAACUUCAGGCGUUAGCCUGGGGGGAGUCGCCCUUGAAAUACCGCCCUUUUUAUGAUUUGAACCUAACCUUUUGGAACAGUGUCUGGUGGGCAGUUUGACUGGGGCGGUCGCCUCCCAAAGAGUAACGGAGGCGUACAAAGGUCACCUCAAGCUGGAUGGAAAUCAGCUUUUGAGUGCAUUGGCAUAAGGUGGCUUGACUGCGAGACUUACAAGUCGAGCAGGGACGAAAGUCGGUCAAAGUGAUCCCACGAUUCCGAGUGGAAGGGUCGUGGCUUAACGGAUAAAAGCUACCCCGGGGAUAACAGGCUUAUCUUGCCCAAGAGUCCAUAUCGACGGCAAGGUUUGGCACCUCGAUGUCGGCUCGUCGCAUCCUGG
rnacentral:rRNA from 1 species